rnacentral:rRNA from 1 species
UACGGAGGGUGCAAGCGUUAUUCGGAAUUACUGGGCGUAAAGCGCGUGCAGGCGGCAUGGUCAGUCUGAUGUGAAAGCCCCGGGCUUAACCUGGGAAGUGCAUUGGAUACUGCUGUGCUUGAGUACUGGAGAGGAAGGGAGAAUUCCCGGUGUAGAGGUGAAAUUCGUAGAGAUCGGGAGGAACACCAGUGGCGAAGGCGCCCUUCUGGACAUGUACUGACGCUGAGACGCGAAAGCGUGGGGAGCAAACAGG